rnacentral:rRNA from 1 species
GACGAACGCUGGCGGCGUGGAUUAGGCAUGCAAGUCGGACGGUAGAGCUUUAUCGUAAGAUAGAGUUUGAGAGUGGCGAACGGGUGAGUAACACGUAGGAAUCUACCCUUAAGACGGGGACAACCCAGGGAAACUUGGGCUAAUACCGGAUGAGAGUGCGAGAGAUUGCAUUUAAAAGGAUGGCGAAAGUUGUCGCUUAGGGAUGAGCCUGCGGUCUAUUAGUUAGUUGGUGAGGUAAGAGCUCACCAAGGCGAUGAUAGAUAGGCGGCCUUAACGGGUGGUCGCCCACACUGGGAUUGAGAUACGGCCCAGACUCCUACGGGAGGCAGCAGUCGAGAAUAGUCUACAAUGGCCGGAAGGCUGAUAGUGCGACGCCGCGUGAACGAGGGAGCCCUUCGGGUGUAAGUUCUUUAUUAUGUGAGCAGUGCUUCUUAUAUUAACAGUAUGGGAGGAGAGAUAUUAGCAUAUAGAAUAAGCAACGGCGUAACUCCGUCGCCACG